CAGCAACUGGGGCUCAGAUCUUGAAUCUGUUUGAUGGCCAGGCUUCUUCUGAACCAGUGACAAGAGAGGACUUCUUAAGCUAUUCCUGUCACUUCACUCUGGAUCCAAACACAGCACACACACAACUCCAUCUGUCUGAGGAGAACAUGAGGGUGGAGUGGAGAGAUGAGGCCCAGUCAUAUCCUGAUCAACCAGACAGAUUUGAUGGGGGGGAUACUCAGGUGCUGUGUAGAGAGGGUGUGUUUAAAGAGGGCGUGUCUGAACGCUGUUACUGGGAGGUUGAGUGGAGUGGAGAGUGGGUUGGUAUAGCAGUGGCAUGUGAAAGCAUCAGAAAGAAAGGAGGGGGUCGUGACCGUGGGUUUGGAUGUAAUGAUCAGUCUUGGAUGCUAGAACUCAACUCCAACUCAACUUUGAAACACGAUGAUAAAGAGAUUCCUCUCACUCUAGUGGCCAGCUCCAGAAUAGGAGUGUAUGUGGAUCACAGGGCAGGAACGCUGGCCUUCUACAGCAUCUCUGAUACAAUGACCCUCCUUCACAAAGUCCACACAUUCACACACACACUCUACCCUGGAUUUUGGCUAUAUGGUGGUCAAUCAUCAGUGAAGCUAGUUUGAGACUGGUACCAAAAUCCAAAAUUG